UGGGGAAUAUUGGACAAUGGGCGAAAGCCUGAUCCAGCCAUGCCGCGUGUGUGAAGAAGGUCUUCGGAUUGUAAAGCACUUUAAGUUGGGAGGAAGGGCAGUAAGCGAAUACCUUGCUGUUUUGACGUUACCGACAGAAUAAGCACCGGCUAACUCUGUGCCAGCAGCCGCGGUAAUACAGAGGGUGCAAGCGUUAAUCGGAAUUACUGGGCGUAAAGCGUGCGUAGGCGGCUAAUUGAGUCGGAUGUGAAAUCCCCGAGCUUAACUUGGGAAUUGCAUUCGAUACUGGUUAGCUAGAGUGUGGGAGAGGAUGGUAGAAGUCCAGGUGUAGCGGAGAAAUGCGUAGAGAUCUGGAGGAAUACCGAUGGCGAAGGCAGCCAUCUGGCCUAACACUGACGCUGAGGUACGAAAGCAUGGGGAGCAAACAGG
rnacentral:rRNA from 1 species